rnacentral:rRNA from 1 species
AGCAGCCGCCGCGGUAAUACGUAGGUGGCAAGCGUUGUCCGGAAUUAUUGGGCGUAAAGGGCUCGCAGGCGGUUUCUUAAGUCUGAUGUGAAAGCCCCCGGCUCAACCGGGGAGGGUCAUUGGAAACUGGGAAACUUGAGUGCAGAAGAGGAGAGUGGAAUUCCACGUGUAGCGGUGAAAUGCAUAGAGAUGUGGAGGAACACCAGUGGCGAAGGCGACUCUCUGGUCUGUAGCUGACGCUGAGGAGCGAAAGCGUGGGGAGCGAACAGGAUUAGAUACCCCGGUAGUCCCUGUCUCUUAUAC